rnacentral:rRNA from 1 species
CGUGAGGGGCGAACGUUGUUCGGUGUCACUGGGCUUAAAGGGCGCGUAGGUGGCUGUGCAAGUAAGGUGUGAAAGCCCUCGGCGUUACCCGGGGAAUUGCGCCUUAAACUGCAUGGCUUGAGGGAUUCGAGGGAAGUGGGGAACUCCAGGUGUAGCGGUGAAAUGCGCAGAUAUCUGGGGGAAGGCCGGCGGCGAAGGCGCCAUUCUGGGGAUUUCCUGACACUGAGGCGCGAAAGCGUGGGGAGCAAACAGGAUUAGAUACCCUGGUAGUCCACGCCCUAAACGAUGGAUACUAAGUAGGGGACCCUGCAAGGGGUUCCUUGCCGGAGCGAAAGCGUUAAGUAUCCCGCCUGGGGAGUAUGGUCGCAAGACUA